rnacentral:ncRNA from 1 species
CUAAAUACGUUGACAAGAAGAGUAAAUUUAUUUUUUGAUUUAGAGAGCCUGUGGGUGGUGAAAACAGGAGAAGAGAUAAAUUGAAGUGCCUCUUAGAGUAGUUCUGGUGAAAUAAAAAGUAGCUAGAAACGAGUGAUAAUCGUUAUGUUAUCAAAAGGUAAGGAAGAUUUUUUCUUACGAAUAAAAGUGGAACCACGUGUAAACGUCUUUUAG